rnacentral:lncRNA from 1 species
GUGCCGUUUUGUUUGUAUGCUGAAACGAAUUGCAAAUAUAUAUUAUUUCUGCUAACAUGACUACUAAACUGGUUAGCAUAAUCAGUCCCUCAAUACUGCCAUCAUGGGAAAUGUUAUUCUGGUAUCUUUUCCUAUUGCAGUUCCCAGCUGUCAGAGGAAGAACUAAUAUCGCUUUACACCAGUAUUUUGCUUUAUUCAUUCUAAUUG